UACGAAGGGGACUAGCGUUGUUCGGAAUCACUGGGCGUAAAGCGCACGUAGGCGGAUGUGUCAGUCAGGGGUGAAAUCCCGGGGCUCAACCUCGGAACUGCCUUUGAUACAGCACGUCUCGAGUCCGGAAGAGGUGGGUGGAAUUCCUAGUGUAGAGGUGAAAUUCGUAGAUAUUAGGAAGAACACCGGUGGACGAAGGCGGCCCACUGGUC
rnacentral:rRNA from 1 species